CAGGCUUAACACAUGCAAGUCGAGGGGCAGCAUGGUCUUAGCUUGCUAAGGCCGAUGGCGACCGGCGCACGGGUGAGUAACACGUAUCCAACCUGCCGUCUACUCUUGGACAGCCUUCUGAAAGGAAGAUUAAUACAAGAUGGCAUCAUGAGUCCGCAUGUUCACAUGAUUAAAGGUAUUCCGGUAGACGAUGGGGAUGCGUUCCAUUAGAUAGUAGGCGGGGUAACGGCCCACCUAGUCUUCGAUGGAUAGGGGUUCUGAGAGGAAGGUCCCCCACAUUGGAACUGAGACACGGUCCAAACUCCUACGGGAGGCAGCAGUGAGGAAUAUUGGUCAAUGGGCGAGAGCCUGAACCAGCCAAGUAGCGUGAAGGAUGACUGCCUUAUGGGUUGUAAACUUCUUUUAUAAAGGAAUAAAGUCGGGUAUGGAUACCCGUUUGCAUGUACUUUAUGAAUAAGGAUCGGCUAACUCCGUGCCAGCAGCCGCGGUAAUACGGAGGAUUCGAGCGUUAUCCGGAUUUAUUGGGUUUAAAGGGAGCGUAGAUGGAUGUUUAAGUCAGUUGUGAAAGUUUGCGGCUCAACCGUAAAAUUGCAGUUGAUACUGGAUAUCUUGAGUGCAGUUGAGGCAGGCGGAAUUCGUGGUGUAGCGGUGAAAUGCUUAGAUAUCACGAAGAACUCCGAUUGCGAAGGCAGCCUGCUAAGCUGCAACUGACAUUGAGGCUCGAAAGUGUGGGUAUCAAACAGGAUUAGAUACCCUGGUAGUCCACACGGUAAACGAUGAAUACUCGCUGUUUGCGAUAUACGGCAAGCGGCCAAGCGAAAGCGUUAAGUAUUCCACCUGGGGAGUACGCCGGCAACAGUGAAACUCAAAGGAAUUGACGGGGGCCCGCACAAGCGGAGGAACAUGUGGUUUAAUUCGAUGAUACGCGAGGAACCUUACCCGGGCUUAAAUUGCAGAUGAAUUACGGUGAAAGCCGUAAGCCGCAAGGCAUCUGUGAAGGUGCUGCAUGGUUGUCGUCAGCUCGUGCCGUGAGGUGUCGGCUUAAGUGCCAUAACGAGCGCAACCCUUGUUGUCAGUUACUAACAGGUUCUGCUGAGGACUCUGACAAGACUGCCAUCGUAAGAUGUGAGGAAGGUGGGGAUGACGUCAAAUCAGCACGGCCCUUACGUCCGGGGCUACACACGUGUUACAAUGGGGGGUACAGAGGGCCGCUACCACGCGAGUGGAUGCCAAUCCCAAAAACCUCUCUCAGUUCGGACUGGAGUCUGCAACCCGACUCCACGAAGCUGGAUUCGCUAGUAAUCGCGCAUCAGCCACGGCGCGGUGAAUACGUUCCCGGGCCUUGUACACACCGCCCGUCAAGCCAUGGGAGCCGGGGGUACCUGAAGUGCGUAACCGCGAGGAGCGCCCUAGGGUAAAACUGGUGACUGGGGCUAAGUCAUAAC
rnacentral:rRNA from 1 species